UGAUAGCUCAGUUGGUAGAGCAACUGACUCUUAAUCAGUGGGUCUACGGUUCGAAUCCGU
rnacentral:tRNA from 1 species